rnacentral:rRNA from 1 species
GAUGAACGCUAGCUACAGGCUUAACACAUGCAAGUCGAGGGGUAACGAGAGGGAAGCUUGCUUUCCUUGUCGACGACCGGCGCACGGGUGAGUAACGCGUAUCCAACCUGCCCCCAACUAGGGAAUAACCUUGCGAAAGUAAGACUAAUACCCUAUAAUUUCCUCAGAUGUCAUCUGACGAGGAAUAAAGAUUUAUCGGUUGUGGAUGGGGAUGCGUCUGAUUAGCUUGUUGGCGGGGUAACGGCCCACCAAAGCAACGAUCAGUAGGGGUUCUGAGAGGAAGGUCCCCCACAUUGGAACUGAGACACGGUCCAAACUCCUACGGGAGGCAGCAGUGAGGAAUAUUGGUCAAUGGGCGGAAGCCUGAACCAGCCAAGUAGCGUGCAGGAUGACGGCCCUAUGGGUUGUAAACUGCUUUUAUACAGGAAUAAAGUUAGCCACGUGUGGUUAUUUGUAGGUACUGUAUGAAUAAGGACCGGCUAGUUCCGUGCCAGCAGCCGCGGUAA